rnacentral:lncRNA from 1 species
AACUAAAACUUAUUUUGCAUCUCCUGUCACAUGGUGAGGCCAAAAACAAUAUCCACAUCUAUGUAACAAACAAAAAACUGAUCAAAUAGAACAAAAGGGAACCAAUCACCAAACCAGAACCGCUUUUCCUUCAAAAAUGGUGAAGAACCACACAAAGAUCCAUCUGAAAUGGAAGUGCAUAAACAAUAAGCAAGGGGAAAGCCCAGGAAGAAGACAAUGACAGUAGAAAAAUAUUAUACUCCCUCUACAAUGCUUCACGUCCAACAACCAGACCAAGAUAGCCCCACCUUAAGCUCCGACUUUGGUAGAAUCAAAACUUAUUUUGUAUCUCCUGUCAAAGGGUGGGACCAAAAACAAUAUACACAUGUACGUAACAAACAAAAAAUAGAUUAAACAGAGCAAAAGGGAACCAAGCACCAAACCAGAACCGCCUUCCCACGAGAACUGGUUAAUUAGAACCCAAAGAUCAAACAUUUGAAGAUUAAAGAGCAUAACAAUAAGCAAAGGGAAAAAGUUCACCUAGAAGAUAAAUCACAAUAGAAAAAUAAUAUACUCCUGUUGACACCCACCAUAAACACUAUACCAAUGGCAGCAUCCAAGAUUGGUCCAUAUCCAAAUAACCAGACCAAGAUAGCCUCACCUUAAAUACCUAACUUUGAUGGAAUCAAAACCAAUUUUGUAUCUCCUGACACAGGGUGAGGCAGAAAACAAGGUCCAAGUCUACGUAACAAAAUAAAACUAUAAUAGAGAGCAAAGAUAACCAAGGAUCAAACCAGAACAGUCUUCCACAGAAGCCUGAUUAAGAAACACACAACGAUCCGGCAUCUGGAAAUUGAAAAGAAUAACGAUAAGCAAGGGAAAGUUUAGGUAGAAUAUAAAAUUUAGUAAAAAAGUUACAAUACUAUACUCCCUAUGCAACCCUUGAUAAACACUAUAUCAAUGACAGCGUCAAAGGUUGCUCCGUGUCCAACAAUCAGACCAAGAUUGCACCACCAUAAGCUCCUACUUUGAUAGAAUCAAAACUUAAUUUAUAUUUUGUGUCAUAGGGUGAUGCAGAAAACAAUAUCCACGCCAACGUAACAAACAAAAAACUGAUGAAAGAGAAAAAAGAUAACAAAGCAUCAAACCGAACAGCCUUCCAAUUAAGAACCACAACGAUCAGAAAUCUGAAAAUUGAAGAGUAUAACGACAAGCACCGGAAACUCUAGGUAGAAGAGAAAAUAUAGUAGAAGAAAAUGUAGUAUAACAAUCUGCAUCCCUCAAUAAACAUUAUAUCAAUUGACAUCUUAUAUUAGUCCGCAUCCAACAACCCCACCAAGUUGGCCCCCACCUUAAGCUCCCACUUUGAUAGAAUAAAACUGAAUUUGUAUCUCCUGUCACAGGGUGAGGGCGAAAAAAAUAUCAAAGUCUACGUAACAAAAAAAAAAAAACUAUAAUAGAGAACACAGACAACCAAGCGUCAAACAAGAACUGCCUUUCAGAGAAGCUUGAUUAAGAACAAAACAGCAACCAAAGAUUUGUCCAUGUCCAAAAACCAGACCAAGAUAGCCCCCACCUUAAGCUCCUACUUUGAUAGAAUCAAAACCUAUUUUGUAUCUCCUGUCACAGGGUGAGGCUGAAAACAACAUCCAAGUCUACAUAACAGCAAAAGAACUAUAAUUGAGAGAGCAAAGAUAACCAAUUAUCAAACCCGAACUGCCUUCCAGUUAAACUUGAUUAAGAACCACAUAAUGAACAGGCAUCUGGAAAUGGAAGAGAGACUAACAAUAACCACAGGAAAGUCUAGAUGGAAGAUAAAUUGUAGUAGAAAAAAAUACUAUAUUAUACUCCCUCUGCCAUCCUCGAUAAACACUAUAAUUGACAGCGUCAAAGGUUGAUCUGUGGCCAAUAUAACUAAACCAAGAUUAGCCCCACCUUGAGCUCCUACUUUGAUAAAAUCAAAACAAAAUUUUUAUCAUCUGCCAUAGGAUGAGGCAGAAAUACAAUAUACACGUAUACGUAACAAACAAAAAAACUGAUGAUAGAGAGAAAAGAUAAACCCAGCAUCAAACCAGAAGUGCCUUCAAGUAAAGAACACCUGGAAAUUGAAGAGUAUAACGAUAAGUAUAGGAAACUCAAGGUAAAAGAGAAAACGUAAAAAAAAAAAAAAUAACUAUACUGUACACCAUCUGCCACCCUCGACAAACACUAUAUCAAUGAUGGCAUCAUAGAUUAGUCCAUAUCCAAAAACCAGACCAAGAUAACCCCCACCUUAAGCUUCAACUUUGAUAGAAUCAAAACCUAUUUUGUCUCCUGGCACAGGGUGAGGACCAAAACAUUGUCCAAGUCUACAUAACAAAUAAACAAUAAUUACAGAGCAAAGGUGACCAAUUAGCAAACCAGAACAGCCUUCCCGUGAAGCUUGAUUAAAAACCACACAGCGAUCAGGCAUCUGGAAAUUGAUGAGAACAACGGUAAGCAUGGGAAAGUCUAGGUAGAAGAUAAAAGAUAGUAAAAAAAAAAAAAACUAUUCUAUACUCUCUUUGCCAGGCCCACACCACUAUAUCAAUGACAGCAUCAAAGGUAGAUCCGUGUUCAAUAACCAGGCCAACAUUAGCCACACCAUAAGCUCCUUCUUUCAAAACUUAAUUUUUAUCUCCUAUCAUAGGGUGAGGCAGAGAACAAUAUCCACGUCUACAUAACAACAAAAAAUUGUUGAAACUGACAAAAGAUAACCAAGAAAACAAGAAGUGCCAUCCAUUAUGGAAAUUGAAGAGUAUAACUAUAAACACGGGAAACUCUAGGUAGAAGAGAAAAUGUAGUAGAAAAAAAAAAUACUAUUAUGUAUUUCCUUUGCGACCCUCGAUUUACAAUAUACCAAUGAUAACAUCAAAGAUCUGUCCGCGUCCAAAAACCAGACCAAGAUAGCCCCCACAUUAAGCUCCUACAGUGAUGGAAUCAAAACCUAUUUUGUAUCUCCUGUCACAGGGUAGGCCCAAAACAAUAUCCAAGUCUAUAUAACAACAAAAGAAAUAUAAUAGAGAGAUCAAAUGCAACCAAUUAUGAACCCAGAACUGCCUUCCAGUUAAGCUUGAUUAAGAACCACACAACGAUCAGGCAUCUGGAAAUUGAAGAGAAUAACAAUAAGCACGGGAAAGUCAAGAUGGAAGAUAAAUUGUAGCAGAAUUAAUACAAUACUAUACUCCCUCUGACACCCUCGAUAAACAUUAUAUCAGUGACAGCAUCAAAAGUUGAUAUGUCUCCAAUAACUAGACCAAGAUUAGCCCCACCAUAAGCUGCUUCUUUCACAACUUAAUUUUUAACCCCUGUCACAAGGUGAGGCAGAAAACAAUAUCCACGUCUACGUAACAAAUAAAAGAUUGUUGAAACUGACAAAAGAUAACCAAGCAUACCAGAAGUGCCUUCCAGUUAAGAACCACACAACAAUCAGACAUCUGGAAAUUGAAGAGUAUAACUAUUAGCACGGGAAACUCUAGGUAGAAGAGAAAAUGUAGUAGAAAAAAAAUACUAUUAUGUACUCCAUGUACUCCCUUUACCACCCACAUUAAACUAUAUCAAUGACAGCAUGAAGGAUUUGUCAGUGUACCAAAAACCAGACCAAGACACGCCCCCACCUUAAGCUCCUACUUUGAUAGAAUCAGAACCUAUUUUGUAUCUCCUAUCACAGGGUGAGGCUGAAACCAACAUCGAGUCUAAAUAACAACAAAAGAACUACAAUAGAGAGAGCAAAGGUAACCAACUAUCAAACCCGAACUGCCGUCCAGUAAGCUUGAUUAAGAACCACACAACGAUCGGGCAUCUGGAAAUGGAAGAGAAUAACGAUAAGCACCGGAAGGUCUAGAUGGAAGAUAAAUUGUAUUAGAAGAAAUACUAUACUAACUCCCUCUGCCACCCUCGAAAAACAUAUCAUGACCAUCAAAGGAUUGAUUGUGUGCAAUAACUGACUAAGAUUAGCCCUACCUUAAGCCCUACUUUGAUAAAAUUAAAACUUAAUUUUUAUCUCAUGUCAUAGGGUGGGGCAGAAAACAAUAUCACGUCUAUGUACAAACAAAAAUUGUUGAAAUGACAAAAGAUAACCAAACAUCAAACCAGAAGUGUCAUCCAGUUAAGAACCACCCCACGAUCAGACAUCUGGAAAUUGAAGAGUAUAUCUAUAAGCACGGGAAACUCUAGGUAGAAGAGAAAAUGUAUAGAAAUAAAAAUACUAUUAUGUACUCCCUUUGCCACCCUCGAUUAACACAAUAUCAAUGACUCAUCAAAGAUCUGUCCGCGUCCAAAAACCAGACCAAGAUAGCCCCCACAUUAAGCUCCUACAGUGAUGGAAUCAAAACCUAUUUUGUAUCUCCUGUCACAGGGUAGGCCCAAAACAAUAUCCAAGUCUAUAUAACAACAAAAGAAUAUAAUAGAGAGAUCAAAUGCAACCAAUUAUGAACCCAGAACUGCCUUCCAGUUAAGCUUGAUUAAGAACCAAACAACGAUCAGGCAUCUGGAAAUCGAAGAGAAUAACAAUAAGCACGGGAAAGUCAAGAUGGAAGAUAAAUUGUAGCAGAAUUAAUACAAUACUAUACUCCCUCUGACACCCUCGAUAAACAUUAUAUCAGUGACAGCAUCAAAAGUUGAUGUCUCCAGUAACUAGACCAAGAUUAGCCCCACCAUAAGCUGCUUCUUUCACAACUUAAUUUUUAACUCCUGUCACAAGGUGAGGCAGAAAACAAUAUCCACGUCUACGUAACAAAUAAAAGAUUGUUGAAACUGACAAAAGAUAACCAAGCAUACCAGAAGUGCCUUCCAGUUAAGAACCACACAACAAUCAGACAUCUGGAAAUUGAAGAGUAUAACUAUUAGCACGGGAAACUCUAGGUAGAAGAGAAAAUGUAGGUAGAAAAAAAAUACUAUUAGUACUCCCUUUACCACCCACUAUUAACACUAUAUCAAUGACAGCAUGAAGGAUUUGUCAGUGUCCAAAAACCAGACCAAGACAGCCCCCACCUUAAGCUCCUACUUGAUAGAAUCAGAACCUAUUUUGUAUCUCCUAUCACAGGGUGAGGCUGAAACCAACAUCCGAGUCUAAAUAACAACAAAAGAACUACAAUAGAGAGAGCAAAGGUAACCAACUAUCAAACCCGAACUGCCGUCCAGUUAAGCUUGAUUAAGAACCACACAACGAUCGGGCAUCUGGAAAUGAAGAGAAUAACGAUAAGCACCGGAAGGUCUAGAUGGAAGAUAAAUUGUAUAGAAGAAAUACUAUACUAUACUCCCUCUGCCACCCUCGAUAAACACACUAUAUAGUGACCACGUCAAAGGAUUGACUUGUGUGCAAUAACUUGACUAAGAUUAGCCCUACCUUAAGCUCCUACUUGAUAAAAUUAAAACUUAAUUUUUAUCUCAUGUCAUAGGGUGGGGCAGAAAACAAUAUCCACGUCUAUGUAGCAAACAAAAUUGUUGAACUGACAAAAGAUAACCAAACAUCAAACAGAAGUGUCUCCAGUUAAGAACCACCCCACGAUCAGACAUCUGGAAAUUGAAGAGUAUAUCUAUAAGCACGGGAAACUCGAGGUAGAAGAGAAAAUGUAGUAGAAUAAAAAUACUAUUAUGUACUCCCUUUGCCACCCUCGAUUAACACAAUAUCAAUGACUACAUCAAAGAUCUGUCGCGUCCAAAAACCAGACCAAGAUAGCCCCCACAUUAAGCUCCUACAGUGAUGGAAUCAAAACCUAUUUUGUAUCUCCUGUCACAGGGUAGGCUCAAAACAAUAUCCAAGUCUAUAUAACAACAAAAGAAAUAUAAUAGAGAGAUCAAAUGCAACCAAUUAUGAACCCAGAACUGCCUUCCAGUUAAGCUUGAUUAAGAACCAAACAACGAUCAGGCAUCUGGAAAUCGAAGAGAAUAACAAUAAGCACGGGAAAGUCAAGAUGGAAGAUAAAUUGUAGCAGAAUUAAUACAAUACUAUACUCCCUCUGACACCCUCGAUAAACAUUAUAUCAGUGACAGCAUCAAAAGUUGAUAGUCUCCAUAACUAGACCAAGAUUAGCCCCACCAUAAGUGCUUCUUUCACAACUUAAUUUUUAACCCCUGUCACAAGGUGAGGCAGAAAACAAUAUCCACGUCUACGUAACAAAUAAAAGAUUGUUGAAACUGACAAAAGAUAACCAAGCAUACCAGAAGUGCCUUCCAGUUAAGAACCACACAACAUCAGACAUCUGGAAAUUGAAGAGUAUAUCUAUAGCACGGGAAAUUCUAGGUAGAAGAGAAAAUGUAGUAGAAAAAAAAUACUAUUAUGUACUCCCUUUCCACCCCGAUUAAACAUAUCAAUGACCAUAAGAUUGUCGGUCCAAAAACCAGACCAAGACAGCCCCCACCUUAAGCUCCUACUUUGAUAGAAUCAGAACCUAUUUUGUAUCUCCUAUCACAGGGUGAGGCUGAAACCAACAUCGAGUCUAAAUAACAACAAAAGAACUACAAUAGAGAAAGCAAAGGUAACCAACUAUCAAACCCGAACUGCCGUCCAGUUAAGCUUGAUUAAGAACCACACAACGAUCGGGCAUCUGGAAAUGGAAGAGAAUAACGAUAAGCACCGGAAGGUCUAGAUGGAAGAUAAAUUGUAUUAGAAGAAAUACUAUCUAUACUCCCUCUGCCACCCUCGAUAAACACACUAUAUCAGUGACCACGUCAAAGGAUUGACUUGUGUGCAAUAACUUGACUAAGAUUAGCCCUACUUAAGCUCCUACUUUGAUAAAAUUAAAACUUAAUUUUUAUCUCAUGUCAUAGGGUGGGGCAGAAAACAAUAUCCACGUCUAUGUACAAACAAAAUUGUUGAAAUGACAAAAGAUAACCAAACAUCAAACCAGAAG